rnacentral:lncRNA from 1 species
UGCUGAAAAAGUCACUCCUAGGAAUGGAACUUUAUUUUCAGUUUUCACAGUGGCCUGCUGAAAAAGUCACUCCUAGGAAUGGAACUUUAUUUUCAGUUUUCACAGUGGCCUGCUGAAAAAGUCACUCCUAGGAAUGGAACUUUAUUUUCAGUUUUCACAGUGGCCUGCUGAAAAAGUCACUCCUAGGAAUGGAACUUUAUUUUCACAUACACUCAGCGUGUAAUAUUGUAGCUUUUCAAGUAUCUCUAAUCGGAGACUAUCAAACGAAGCUCAUCCAUCUUAUUCUCGAGUGACUGGACAUUUUCCAAAAGCACGAAGGGGGGGGAGUGUGCCGUUCGGUUUUCUCUUCGCAUCAAUUUCACCAGGACUCCACCUCGUCGUCUCCCGCGUCUCUACGCCUGCAGCGUUUUGGUAGCCUAUGGAACAAAGGGUCCGGUAGGAACUGUGGAAUAGCUGAGUCGGAGUUGAAGUCAUAUUUCUGUACUUUUCUCAAAAAGCUGAGAUAUUUUAAUGUAGACUGAACUAUACUGACACUGUUUUAUAAAUCUUUCAUUGAGAGUAUUUUAACUUUUUGUAUUGUUUUGUUGGUUUGGCAAUGCCACCGUCAGCCAGAGAAAUAUGCUGAGAGGGAUUAUCACCACAGCAAGCAAGGUACUUGGAGUCAAACAGACAGGCCUGGAUGAGAUCUUUAAGGUCAGGGCCUUCAGCAAGGUACUGGGAGUCAAACAGACAAGCCUGGAUGAGAUCUUUAAGGUCAGGGCCCUCAGCAAGUUACUGGGAGUCAAACAGACAGGCCUGGAUGAGGUCUUUAAGGUCAGGGCCCUUGCCAAGGUACUGGGAGUCAAACAGACAGGCCUGGAAGAGAUUUUUAAGGUCAGGGCCCUCAGCAAGGUACUUGGAGUCAAACAGACAGGCCUGGAUGAGAUCUUUAAGGUCAGGGCCUUCAGCAAGGUACUGGGAGUCAAACAGACAGGCCUGGAUGAGGUCUUUAAGGUCAGGGCCUUCAGCAAGGUACUGGGAGUCAAACAGACAGACCUGGAUGAGGUCUUUAAGGUCAGGGCCCUCCGUAAGGUUCACAAAAUCAUUUUAGACCCAAGCCACCCCCUGUACCCGGACUUUGAACUAUUCCCCUCUGGGUGCAGGUAUAGGGCACCCCUCAGCAGGAAAAACACAACUAGACAAUAAUUUGUGCCAGGUGUGAUAUCCCUCCUAAAUAGCUCGGGCUAAUGUUCCUAUCCACCCAGUAAGGCUAACAGGCUAAUGUUCCUAUCCACCCAGUAAGGCUAACAGGCUAAUGUUCCUAUCCACCCAGUAAGGCUAACAGGCUAAUGUUCCUAUCCACCCAGUAAGGCUAACAGGCUAAUGUUCCUAUCCACCCAGUAAGGCCAGCAGGCUAAUGUUCCUAUCCACCCAGUAAGGCUAACAGGCUAAUGUUCCUAUAGACUCAGUAAGGCCAGCAGGCUAAUGUUCCUAUCCACCCAGUAAGGCCAGCAGGCUAAUGUUCCUAUAGACUCAGUAAGGCCAGCAGGCUAAUGUUCCUAUCCACCCAGUAAGGCUAGCAGGCUAAUGUUCCUAUCCACUCAGUAAGGCUAACAGGCUAAUGUUCCUAUCCACCCAGUAAGGCCAGCAGGCUAAUGUUCCUAUCCACCCAGUAAGGCCAGCAGGCUAAUGUUCCUAUCCACCCAGUAAGGCUAACAGGCUAAUGUUCCUAUCCACCCAGUAAGGCUAACAGGCUAAUGUUCCUAUCCACCCAGUAAGGCCAGCAGGCUAAUGUUCCUAUCCACCCAGUAAGGCCAGCAGGCUAAUGUUCCUAUCCACCCAGUAAGGCUAACAGGCUAAUGUUCCUAUCCACCCAGUAAGGCCAGCAGGCUAAUGUUCCUAUAGACUCAGUAAGGCCAGCAGGCUAAUGUUCCUAUCCACCCAGUAAGGCCAGCAGGCUAAUGUUCCUAUCCACCCAGUAAGGCCAGCAGGCUAAUGUUCCUAUCCACCCAGUAAGGCCAGCAGGCUAAUGUUCCUAUAGACUCAGUAAGGCCAGCAGGCUAAUGUUCCUAUCCACCCAGUAAGGCCAGCAGGCUAAUGUUCCUAUAGACUCAGUAAGGCCAGCAGGCUAAUGUUCCUAUCCACCCAGUAAGGCCAGCAGGCUAAUGUUCCUAUCCACCCAGUAAGGCCAGCAGGCUAAUGUUCCUAUCCACCCAGUAAGGCCAGCAGGCUAAUGUUCCUAUCCACCCAGUAAGGCCAGCAGGCUAUUUUUUUAUUGUUAUGUAACUGUUAUGAAAGUUGUAUUGUCAAUUUUGUUUUUGUAUUUAAACGCCACUUUAAAUGUGUACAUGACACUGCAACAAAAUUUCCCCAUGGGGACAAUAAAGUCAGAAAGUACGUUUUUGAAGUCAAAAUGGAGGUUAAUAACUGUUUAUCUGAUGUCCAGAAGUGAUUGGUGGUCAUAUGUGAUAAUAGUAGGAUCUUUCUGUACAAAAAAAUAAAUAAAAAAUAUCGCAAAGUUGGGUUGGAACUCGUAAGAUGUCGCUCUUUUCCGUUGGUGCCAUCUUGGAGAGGAGAGGAGAGGAGAGGAGAGGAGACUACAGUAGAGUAGAGUAGAGUAGAGUAGAGUAGAGGAGAGGAGAGGAGAGGAGAGGAGAGGAGAGGAGAGGAGAGGAGAGGAGAGGAGAGGAGAGGAGAGGAGAGGAGAGGAGAGGAGAGGAGAGGAGAG